GACGAACGCUGGCGGCGUGCUUAACACAUGCAAGUCGAACGGAAAGGCCCUGCUUUUGUGGGGUGCUCGAGUGGCGAACGGGUGAGUAACACGUGAGUAACCUGCCCUUGACUUUGGGAUAACUUCAGGAAACUGGGGCUAAUACCGGAUAGGAGCUCCUGCUGCAUGGUGGGGGUUGGAAAGUUUCGGCGGUUGGGGAUGGACUCGCGGCUUAUCAGCUUGUUGGUGGGGUAGUGGCUUACCAAGGCUUUGACGGGUAGCCGGCCUGAGAGGGUGACCGGCCACAUUGGGACUGAGAUACGGCCCAGACUCCUACGGGAGGCAGCAGUGGGGAGUAUUGCACAGUAGGCGGAAGCCAGAGGCAGCAACGCCGCGUGCGGGAUGACGGCCUUCGGGUUGUGAACCGCUUUCGCCUGUGACGAAGCGUGAGUGACGGUAAUGGGUAAAGAAGCACCGGCUAACUACGUG
rnacentral:rRNA from 1 species